rnacentral:lncRNA from 1 species
GCGGAUCCCGGCAGGUUCUGUCCCUGCAGCUUCUCCCCGUGGGAGCACCAGGUCGACCGUGGCGGCUGAGAUCCUGCAGCUCCGGCUGCCAAGAAUCAACACGACUCACAAAAGGAUGCAGGAGACCUGGAGAUUCACCACCAUAAGGGGAGACGUCUCAACCGACACCAGGCCAGCGACCCUGCCGACGACUCUCAGGUGAGCACCCACAGCAUUAG